AAUUACUGGGCGUAAAGCGCACGCAGGCGGUCUGUUAAGUCAGAUGUGAAAUCCCCGGGCUUAACCUGGGAACUGCAUUUGAAACUGGCAGGCUAGAGUCUCGUAGAGGGGGGUAGAAUUCCAGGUGUAGCGGUGAAAUGCGUAGAGAUCUGGAGGAAUACCGGUGGCGAAGGCGGCCCCCUGGACGAAGACUGACGCUCAGGUGCGAAAGCGUGGGGAGCAAACAGGAUUA
rnacentral:rRNA from 1 species